UACGAAGGUGGCAAGCGUUGUUCGGAUUUACUGGGCGUACAGGGAGCGUAGGCGGUUGGAUAAGCCCUCCGUGAAAUCUCCAGGCUUAACCUGGAAAGUGCAGAGGGGACUGUUCAGCUAGAGGAUGGGAGAGGAGCGCGGAAUUCCCGGUGUAGCGGUGAAAUGCGUAGAGAUCGGGAGGAAGGCCGGUGGCGAAGGCGGCAUCCUGGACCGGUAUUGACGCUGAGGCGCGAAAGCCAGGGGAGCAAACGGG
rnacentral:rRNA from 1 species